UCUGUGAAACUGGAACAGACUUUACAUGUUCUACGUUAUUGAACGUUCAUGGAAUCUAAGGUCUUCCACUCUUCGCGACCUGAAGUGAACAAAAAAGAGGCUAAGAAAGCUUAAAACCUCCCCUGUAUGCUUCAGAUCACUCAGCUGCCUAGACUAGAGAGUCUCUGAUGGUGAUCAGACUGAAGAUUGAAACACCCCUGGAAAGAUGGAUUCUGGUGUUGGAACUAAAGAUGUGAAGGCAGAGUUGGACUUGGUGGAGGCUGAGCUGGAGCAGGUGGAGCUUCAGGUCGCAGAGCUGCUGGAGAAGCAGGCUCAGUUGACGUCUCGCAAGAGCGCUCUGCUGCUGCAGCUGGAGGAGGCCUGUGACGCCAUCGGUUCCUCCUCCUCUACAACCUCAGUACCCGAGUGGGCGAUGAGCAGGCAGGUGCUCCAGAGCUAUGAUGGCACAGAUUUCCCUUGGUCCAAAGAGGUGGAACAGCAUCUGAAAAGCUCCUUUGGUCUUUCUAAGUUCAGACCUUUGCAGCUCAGAGCCAUCAACCUAACCAUGGCAGGCAAUGAUGUGUUUCUGGUCAUGCCUACAGGAAGAGGAAAAAGUCUCUGCUUCCAGCUGCCUGCAAUCUGCUCGAAGGGUAUCACAUUGGUUAUCACACCACUCGUGUCUCUGAUGGAGGACCAGAUCAUGCACCUGAAGUCUGUUGGUAUUCCUGCAGUCAUGCUGAAUGCAUCAAGCAGUAAGGAGCAUUCCAAGCUCGUCUUGGCUGGAAUGACGGAUGUGAAAGUCCCCUUCAAGAUGGUUUAUGUAACUCCAGAGAAGGUUGCCAAGAGCAAGCUGCUGAUGUCUCGCCUGGAGAAAGCCUAUAAUGCCAAGCUGCUUAGUCGUAUAGUUGUGGAUGAGGUGCACUGCUGCAGCCAGUGGGGACACGACUUCAGACCAGAUUAUAAACUCCUGGGUAUCUUAAAGAGACAAUUUCCUUCUGUGCCUCUCUUUGGCCUCACAGCCACAGCAACCAGCAGUGUCCUCAAGGACUGUGAGAAGAUACUGUGUGUGGAACAGCCAGUCACUAUCACUGCCUCGUUCAAUCGAACUAAUCUCUUUUAUGAGGUUCGCCAUAAAGACUCAGAUAGUGAUGCUUUAAUGAGUGAUAUUACCUCUCUAAUUAAAGGCAAAUACAAGAACCAGUCAGGCAUUGUGUAUGUGUUCUCUCAGAAGGAUGCUGAGAUGGUGUCUUCUGAACUCAAAAAACGUGACAUCUCAGCAUAUCCUUAUCAUGCCAAUAUGGACCCAGAAGACAAGUCGCAAGUUCACUGCAGAUGGACUUCAAACAAAAUCCAGGUUGUGGUUGCCACGGUGGCGUUUGGCAUGGGCAUUGACAAACCAGAUGUCAGGUUUGUUAUCCACCACACCAUGAGCAAGUCCGUUGAGAACUACUACCAAGAGAGUGGGCGUGCAGGUCGAGAUGAUCUUCCAGCAGACUGCAUCGUAUAUUUUGGCUUUGCUGAUAUCUUCAAGAUCAGCACCAUGGUGGUCAUGGAAAAUGCCGGCUACCAGAAGCUGCUGCAAAUGGUCUCCUACUGCCAGAUUGUUGACAGGUGUCGGCGCUCUCUCAUGGCUGUCCACUUUGAAGAGGUGUGGGACAAUGAAAGAUGUAACCAAAUGUGUGAUACAUGCUGCCAUGAAAAAGGCUACACUAGUGUGGACAUUACCCAGCAUGCAAGACAAGUGGUGCUAAUUGUUGAGCAAGCAGGGUUCAUGAAAGAAAAAGUGACCCCUCUGAAGCUGGUGGAGACAUGGAUGGGGAGGGGCCCAGCAAAGCUCAGGAAGAUGAUCCAGACUACGGCACUGUCUCGGCUGCAGGCUGAAUCUGUGAUCGUCUCUUUGCUACUUCAAGGAUAUCUCAGAGAGGAUUACACCUUCACGCCAUAUACCACCUACUUCUAUAUGAAGCUUGGCCGCAAAGCUCCUCUGCUAAAGAAGGAGACUCACACAAUCCAUAUGAACAUGUGGGCAGCUGGAGACGGACCUUCUUUGUUGCUACAGGAGGUCACACAAGAUGACGGGGGAAGGUGGGACUCUUCCUGAAGUCUUCGACUAUUUCCUUCGUCUUAUCAGCAUCCUCCCACAUGUAGAUGGAUUUAACUGCCUCAGCGAUGAGUCCAGUGAGGGUGUGUCCUUUCCCCAGUGCUGGUUUUUUGACACUUAGAAGUGACUUUUAUCAGACUUACAUUAUACUUCCUGUCAGACAGGAUGUCUGUUUAUUUAUUUAUUUAUUCAUUCAUUCAUUCAUUCAUUCAUUCAUGUAUUUUUUGAAUCAAAAAAGAUUUGGUGACCUCCACAUGAUCCCGAUUCUGCUGAUACUGUCCCUGUAAUGGAAAUUGUAUUUUAUUAAUUUAUAGCUGUACCUCCAUCCAUCCAUUUCCUGUUCACCCUUGUCCCAUAGAGGUGUCAGGAGGGUUGCUGGUUCCUCUCCAGCUACGUUCCGGGCAAGAGGCGGGGUCACACUGGACAGGUCACCAGUCUGUCGCAGGGCAACACAGAGACAUACAGGACACACAACUAUUCACACACACACUCACACCUAGGGAGAAUUUAGAGAGACCAAUUAACCUGACAGUCAUGUUUUUGGACUGUGGGAGGAAGCCGGAGAACCCGGAGAGAACCCACGCAUGCACAGGGAGAACAUGCAACCUCCAUGCAGAAAGACCCCGGGCCGGGAAUUGAACCCAGGACCUUCUUGCUGCAAGGCAACAGCUCUACCAACUGCGCCACUGUGCAGCCCUAUAGCUGUACCUAUUAUACAUAACACUACACUUUUAUAUUACUCAGCCGUUAUUUGCAUAGCACACUUUAAUGUUACCAUAGUCUCUUUAAUAUAAUGUUCAUAGAUCACAACAUUUUCUGGCAAUAUUUACUGUUUUAAUAUAAUUUUUAAGGACAGAGGAUUCUUAAAGUUACACAUGGAAACUAAAGAUGUUCCAUAGUGCUAGCCCACUGACCCAAGGAUAAAGAGAGAUUAGAGUCAGUAGCCUAGAGGCAUUGUAGCACAGACAUUAACAGGAGCUGGAUACUUUCUCAUAAAAUGAAUGAAGCAACCCUGGGCAUGGGUAUGGUUGUACCAUCCUAGAAAAGAGGAAUGGCCCAGAAUUCCUGUAAAGUAUUGAGAAAAGUUUGAGGAAGGAAAACCACAACGUUUAACCCAAAACAUGCAGUUCAAAUGUAAUGCUACCAAAGACUUAGAAAAUGUAUGCAAACUUCUGAUUUUGUAGACAUAAUUAAACAAGACUCUGAUAUACACUUUCUCAUAUUAUUAUGGCAAAUAAAUAAGAGAAAUACAUCUAGCAAAUAGAAACAAUUCUGAUAAUUUUAUCUGACCUUUAAACAAUUGGUUUGGUUUUAUUUAACUUGAGACAGUUUAUGUGUCUUUGUAUUAGGUGUAUGUAAACUUCUGGAGCUGGGUGGAGUCUGUCAUUAAGAAUAAGAAUGUGGUGUUCUUGCAGUGUUCUUUUGGUUCACUCUGUAGCUAUGGACCGUCUCAAAUAAAGACUUUUGUUAAUGACUUGCAGGCAAAACCUGCAACUGGCAAGGGAAAAUCCAAGGAGGAAAAGAGAUCAGUUCAAAGCUCUGGAGACUCCCAUGUGUCCAAGAAAGUCAAGACAAGGCUUUCCUAGUCCCCUCAACCCCUACAAACCCAGAAGACAAGUCAAUAAAGACAAAUCAGCUACUCGAUGAGGAAGAGGUCUGUGUGAGCCCUGAUCCCCCUGCCAUUAAGAAUAGAUGUUCCCCACAAAAAAAGAGAAAAAUUGAAGCUGAGGAAACGAGCUAAAACAAUUCAAACAGAGGGAGCACAAAAGCAGCCUGCUCAGACAGGGAGAGGAAAAAGGAUAAGAGGAGGCCAUUCAUGUCCCACAGCGUCGCUGUAGAAAUUAAUGUGGAUGUAAGUGAUGGAACAAAGCUUAAUCAAAUUAUAUCUGUCUCCAAGCUGAACUCAGCUAGCUCUUUAAGGGCAAGGAGUAAACAACUUCACCUCCACACUCCUUAUAGUGUCAUACAGACUGAUGGAACUGUAUUCUGACUGACUCUAUGGGCUACAUUAUUACUCAACAUGCACUCCUCCAUUCUGGCAUCUGUCUUAAAUUUAAAUUUAGCACUUAGGAUUUUUGUGUUUUUUUUAGUAUUUUUAGCUCUUAGAUAUUUUACUUGAUCUGGUAAUUGUGUUAAUUUAGUAAUCUUGUGUUUUGUAAUAUAUUGUGUGAACUGUAAUGUAUGUUGUGUGUAAUGUCUUAAGCUGCUGGGACCUUGAAUUUUCCCUAGGGGAUUAAUAAAGUAUUCAUCUUCAUCUUCACCUUCA